AGAAAGGCUUCCGCAGCGGCAACGUUCGGAGGCUUUUUUCUUUUGC
rnacentral:antisense_RNA from 1 species